GAGACUUUCUGUAGUUGGAGAGCAGAAAUGAAGACAGCAUCCUCACCUACCUGGGCCAGGUCUCAGUCCAUCCAUGAUUGUGCAGGCAUGACAGUUGACAACAUCUUGAUCCAUGCUGACAGGAGUAUGUGAAGUUGGCUUUUUCAUUACAGCAGACUGGGAAAUGGACAAAGUCGGUGGAAAGCAGGUAUCACCUUCAUAGGUUCACGCCUACUGACUUUCUUCUACUAUCCAGGCUCCAUCUGCUACAGUGUGCACAGUUUCCAGAAAAGCGCCAGACAAGCUGUGGAUCAGGCAUUCAACAUAUGAGCCAAUGGGAGAGCAGUAUGGAUUCCCGGCAUAAUAACUACCGUCUGAAUGGUUGCCCAGGAUAACAACUGAAUGUUGGGAAAAUUUGAAGUUGCCCUUUUUGGGUCAGAGGUAAAGCUGGGGAAUGCGAUUGAAAGUUAUGAAUUCCAAUAGAUUGUUCUGGGUGGUGUUGGUGGUAUAGUGGUGAGUGUAACAGUCUUCCAAAGAGAUGUUUCCAGUUUAUAUUUCUACCUUCUAGUUUUCCUUAGGUAUAAGUUCUCAUUUUCCUAAGACCUUCCAUCAUAUUGAAAAUUUAUUCAUAGCUUAAUGUAUAUUAAAAUAUAUCAAGUUCUUAC
rnacentral:lncRNA from 1 species